rnacentral:lncRNA from 1 species
UCCGACAAGUUUGCAUAGAAUUCCAUCACAACUGUCAUAUUAGCCUCCUCAGGCUGCUAAAAAAGAACUUCCCAUUUGCGCCGCACAAUCUCUUAAUAAACCUGCUGACAAUCGCCUAUCAACGAACCUCGCUCAACUCUUUUUUCUACAAUGGCCUUUUUGAAUGAUUUCACCUUAAACCGUUGUUGAGCUGCCCAAGAAACAAAUUUGGUGGCAUCAUAUGAUUUCAAUGGUUGCAGUUCUUUUUCCUUUGAAGAUUUUGAACCCUUUUGUGUUGAGGAACUUCCUCUUGUGCUUGGAACAACCCCCAAUUUUUUUCUCUUUCGUGAAUUCUCCAUUAGGUUGAGUAUCCUGCCAAAAAGAAAAUAAUUCACUUAGUAUAGUAAUCUUGGCAUUCCAAUUCUAGCAAUGUGCACCUAAAAUCACAAAAGGUGGGUUGCUUCCUUUUUCAUUCCCUCUCUUUUCUUAAAUUCUUUUUCAUUGUAC